rnacentral:lncRNA from 1 species
GUGGGGACAAACUGACAUUUGGAAAUAUUCUGGUCGAGUUCUGACUGGUGUUUGUUGAGGAUGCUGUUGUGAAGCCCAGGCAAGGACUGUCCUCAGAUUUUGGAGAAAGCUUCUUUGAAAAAGUUCAGAUGACAGAUGGAUACAAUUUCAUUCCCUAGGAGGAAGGAAAGCUGCUCAAAAACAAAAUUAUGACAACUGCGUAUAAGAGGAUCCUAAAAAUUUAAACUUGGAGAAAAGAGCCAAAAUAUUUUGCUUUUCAAUGGAUUGAAACUGUACCCCCUGUAUUGAACCGCUGGACCACCAGAGAGGUCCCACGAAGGAGGUUUUCCGAGGCAUUGGAAGUUUUAUAAUAG